AGCUUUGUACAGUGGCAGUAUCAUAGUUAAUGAGGUUUAUCUGAGGCGUAAUUAUUGCUAAUUAAAAUUUCCACGAACCAAAUUGGCCAAACCUAGAAUAUUUUGUGUAGGGGAAGCUCCUUCAAUUGAGCAUCGGACUCUCAAUUUCUGUUAAGGUUAUGAUC
ensembl:snRNA U4 U4 spliceosomal RNA